GGGGCAAUGGCGCAUCUGGGAGCGCGUCAGACUGAAGUAAACUUCGGCCAUAGGUUUCAUCCUUCGGGAUGUCCCUGUAAAUCUGAAGGUGGCCGGUUCAAGCCCGGCUUGCCCCA
rnacentral:tRNA from 1 species